rnacentral:rRNA from 1 species
AUUAGAGUUUGAUCCUGGCUCAGAACGAACGCUGGCGGCAUGCCUAAUACAUGCAAGUCGAACGCUCGUAGCAAUACGGGAGUGGCGGACGGGUGAGUAACGCGUGGGAACCUGCCCUUGAGUGCGGGAUAACCGAGGGAAACUUCGGCUAAUACCGCAUGCGCCCCGAGCAAUCGGGGGAAAGAUUUAUCGCUCGAGGAGGGGCCCGCGUCGGAUUAGCUAGUUGGUGGGGUAACGGCCUACCAAGGCGAUGAUCCGUAGCUGGUCUGAGAGGGUGAUCAGCCACACUGGGACUGAGACACGGCCCAGACUCCUACGGGAGGCAGCAGUAGGGAAUAUUGGACAAUGGGGGCAACCCUGAUCCAGCAAUGCCGCGUGAGUGAUGAAGGCCUUAGGGUUGUAAAGCUCUUUCGCGCGCGACGAUGAUGACGGUAGCGCGAGAAGAAGCCCCGGCUAACUUCGUGCCAGCAGCCGCGGUAAUACGAAGGGGGCGAGCGUUGUUCGGAAUUACUGGGCGUAAAGGGCGCGCAGGCGGCCUUACAAGUCAGGCGUGAAAGCCCCGGGCUUAACCUGGGAAUUGCGCUUGGGACUGUGGGGCUUGAGUUCGGGAGAGGAGAGUGGAAUUCCCAGUGUAGAGGUAAAAUUCGUAGAUAUUGGGAAGAACACCGGUGGCGAAGGCGGCUCUCUGGACCGAGACUGACGCUGAGGCGCGAAAGCGUGGGGAGCAAACAGGAUUAGAUACCCUGGUAGUCCACGCUGUAAACGAUGUGCGCUAGACGUUGGAGGGCCUAGCCCUCCGGUGUCGCCGCUAACGCUUUAAGCGCACCGCCUGGGGAGUACGGCCGCAAGGUUAAACUCAAAGGAAUUGACGGGGGCCCGCACAAGCGGUGGAGCAUGUGGU